CCGUGCUAGACGGGGAGGUAGCGGUGCCCUGUACUCGCAAUCCGCUCCAGCGAGGUUGAAUUCCUUCUCGAGGUUCGUAUGCUGUAGGGUCUGCCUUAAGUAAGUGGUGUUGAAGCCUGGGUCCUGCGCAAUGAGAAUCCAUGAACCAUGUCAGAUCCGGAAGGAAGCAGCAUUAAGUGGAAACUCUCAUGUGCCGCAGGGCUGCCUGGGCAGAGCUAACUGCUUAAGUAACGCUUAUGGCUGCAAAUCGACAGAAGGUGCACGG
rnacentral:SRP_RNA from 1 species